CAAAUCUUGUUCCUGCCAAGAGACUUAAACCACUUGAUGUGGUUUUCUAUUUGUUGCCAAAGCAGUGUGAAAAAAACCCAGAAGAGCAGGAGCAAAUAGUCCAUAUGCAUGCAGGAUUGGGCCGUAGGACUGCUCAUCUAGAUGAAAGCACAACCCAUGAAGAGUUAUGUGAUGCCCUCAAAGUUUUAUUUCCAAAAUUGGGGGCCGUGACUGGUGGGUGGCUGCUAUACAAAUCUGCAGGUGGAUGGGGUAGCCAAAAACUCUCUCUUGUGGCUC